CUAACGUAUGGUAUUCGUAUUCGGAUCUGACCAUGAUUUUACCUACUAAAUUCGAUCUUUUUGCAACAGUUGUACACAUGUACACCCAUGUCCUAUACUGGGUCCGCCCCUGACUCGUAGUGCUGUUGAUGUCAGCGAAGGUUCUUUGGUGCUAUACACGAAUACAAUCUUUUAGGAGCUAGAUGCCCAAUUUUCUCCUAAUUCUGUUCAUUUUGUUCCAAUGGCGAAGAACUCUUUUAUUUGUGCCGUUUUGCCCUCAUGGAAAUACUUUUAGUGCAAAACUGGUGUGGAUUAGGCCAACUUGUGGCAGUUAUUUUUAAUCUCUAGAGGGACUUUAGCGUAGUCUACUUCCUCAGAUGAUGUGAUUCAGAUCUUAUACUCAUCCACAUGACGUUCUCAAGUUUCUCAAAGAAAGAUUUAAAAAUAGUAAUGGCUUAUUUGCAGACAAGUGCACAUAUGUCAGGGCUGUUUCACCCCACUGGAUUCAACCAAGGAACAAUUCAAAUUGCUAUCAUAUUCAUUAACCACUUUGGCUGACCACAUUCCUUGGUUAUGAACCUAUAGUAGUAUCCCAACCCCAUGAUCAGCAAAGGUUCCAGCUAAACUAGCGCAGUUGCUUUUCGAUGAUUUCUGAUUCAGGUUAACUGAGUUUUGUUAGUACUGAAACUAAGCUUAGGAAAUGAGAAAUCCUGCUCAAUCAAUUCUUAAAUAUGUUCUUCUUUAGCUUUUGGAAUCCAAGUGAGGAUCAUUAGAAUAGCUCAUGAUCGUGGUACUGAUAAAACACUCCACUGGCUAAAAGUAGGAAACUUUUUGCCCGAUUACUUAGCACGUUAUGGCAGGUGGGUGCUCAUGGGAACCUCCACUCCCCGAUCCCGCUCCUUAAAUCAAACGGUUAUAUAUGCCUGAGUUGUUAGUAAUUAACUACGUUAUAUUUGUAUUCAUUGAUAAAUGUCUUGCCAUGGAAGUAUAUCUGGUGCAAAAGGUCCCCUUAAAUCCGAAAACAGAACUUUUAGACAAUCUUAGACAAAACUAGACAAAAAAUUUUGAAUCAACAUUUUUAUUUCUUAGAAAAAAUGGAGAGGAGAAAGGAAAUUACCGGUUAUUGGAGUCCACACCUCCACACCCCAAAUCUGGUGCCUAACAACUAUUGAUGUGGGUGUUUAUGUAGUUCUUAUGGUUAUGAGGGCUAUUUAAAUCUCCAGUUCAAACUUGAACUAGACCAGUUCAUGUAUGUCUUGGAUCUCACUGAGGAAUUGGCUUUUGCUGGUUUGUUGCAUUAAGAUUUGCUGCCUUGAUUGUAGAUUCGCUAAAAGAAUCUAAUAGUUUGAACAAACAGUUUGAGUAUAUCACUUUUGUCUUCUUUUUAUAGUGUAAUUAACAGUUUAGCAUUAUCUAAUUUCCCAUUUUCUUUACAUGCUGUUUUGCAGCAUAAAAAAAAUAUAUGUACACUCAGCUUACUGCUUGUUUUGGGAUAGAUGGCAGGUGGAGAGCGAAGGACAGUGUUUGUCACUGUGGGUACCACAUGUUUUGAUGCUCUUGUCAUGGCGGUAGAUUCUCCAGAAGUGAAAAAGGCUUUAUUGCAGAAGGGUUAUACUGAUCUUCUUAUUCAAAUGGGCCGAGGAACAUAUGUUCCAUCUAAGGUUGGUUGGAUUAUACUUCUGUAUUAGAUUAUCAAAAUAUAAUUCCUCUCUGUUAUGCAUUCAUGGCAAUAUCUACUCUUUUAGGAAUAUUCAUUCAUGACUAGUACAUAACUGGUGAUUUAUUAAGUUACACUAAGUGACAAAGCAAACUGGAAACACUCCUUAAGUUAAAAGAUAAACUUGAUUUUAUGAAAAUUGAUAUCAUGUGAAGUGUUUUAUGCAAAUAAUGAUUCUGGUGUUUUAUGACAAAAAAAAUCAAACUAUGGUUGUUCCAUUGUUCAUGACAUGCUUUUUGUCAUACAUCCAACUUGAUUCAGCAGCUGCUUGCUUUUAUCAUAUUAGCCUUGCUUUUCCUUUUUUUAAUGAUUCAUUUUAGCACAGCACGCAUUUUUUUUCCUUCAUAGGAAUAAUUGCUACGUGCUUCCUGAAAUAUUCAUGCAGUCCCCUGAUUUCCCAAAAGAAAAAUGUAGUCUACAUGUUUAUUGGGGUAUUUCAUGAAUUGGCUUCCAAUUCUAUAAUACAAUUAAUAGUAUUUAUCUAUUCUGGAUUACAGGUCUCAGGAGAUGCAACUCUUCAAGUUGAUCAUUUCACAUUUUCACCAAGCAUUGCUGACAAUAUGAGAACAGCUUCCCUAGUUAUCAGCCAUGCAGGUACUUAUGGUGUUUUCCUAUGGUGGCAAAUACGUAAAGGGUAAUGAAAUGUUUUUCAUGGAAUUUUAUAUCUUUUUGCCUAAAGUUGAAACUGCCAGCUGGAUGCUAUUGAAUUUUCCUAUAAUUUUCAGCUAGAAUAGUAGUUUAUACCUAAAAGUAUAUAUAAGAAGAAACAACAUAGUUCUUCUAUUUGUAUUUUAGAAUGAUGAGCUAAAAAUCUUCUGAUAUAUGUACCGGUCUAUUGUAUGCUAUGGACCUGAUCUUUUUCACUACGUCCUGUUUCAUAUUGUCCGAUGAAGUGGUUGAGAUUUGGGAACCAUCGAUCUUUUAAAUAUGGAAGAAAAAUAAUUAAAUAGUUAAGGACUACAACUCCUAGUGUUAAGAAUCAUGAUUCUAUGAUCAUUAAAGAAUAAAGAAUUUUUUGAAAGAAACAGCGAGGGAAACCCCACUGUGGAUUAAAGAAUAAAGAUUACUGGGUUACCAUAGAGGCCUUAGCAUUUAUAAAAGGAGAUUACAGGGAGAGCCCUCUCCGUUUAAGCGAUUGUCGCGGGAGCGUGGUCCAGGUACGUUGAACUUGAGCAGCAGUGUCUCGUUCUGUUAUCAUCUUCUGGUUCCUUCCAACUUUGAUCCCCGUCGACCACCAUCCAACGCCCAACCUUCCUCAUGGCUUCCGGUACCAUCGCAGCCCACCACACCACCCCUGGCCACCACCUACUGGCACCCAUGCUUGCAUAGAUACAGGGGAGGGAGGAAAGGAGGCAUGCUCAUGUUUGCUCAGUAGCAUGAAGCAGGGGCACUGGAGCUGCAGUUGCAUGGAGCAGAGCAUUGCCAUGGUGUGGACAUUGUUAAAGCACCUCUGUUAGGUGCAAAUAUAAUCUGUCUUUAUCACUAAUAAUUUGCAUAAGUACUAUUCUGCAGCAAUGUACAACAAGUUCAUGGUAGUAUCAGUUUGGCGGAAUAGCCGUUUUCGUCCUCAAACUAUCAACCGAGGCUCAAUUUCAUCCCUGAUCUACCAAAACGACUGUUUUAGUCCUUGAACUUCCUCGUGGUUCAACAUGGCGUGACAUGAUAGGACGAAGGACGAAAUUGAGCCAUGUGAGGAAGUUCAAGGACUGAAAUGACCAUUUCGGUAGUUCAGGAACUAAAUUGAGCCUCGUUUGAUAGUUUGAGGACGAUAAUGGCUAUAAGGAUCAGCAUGGCUGCCCUGCUGCAACUUGAGUGGUUGUGCAUCAUUGAAUGUCUUGAGCACGAAAGUGAUAUAUCUUGUCGAACCUUAUGAUUGACUAACUGAUUUUGUGUGUGGAAUAUCUCAUUGGUGUAUAUUAUUUAUUGUUUAGUUUCUCAAGAUUUAACUCUCUGGCAGGUUCAGGAAGCAUAUUUGAGACGCUACGACUAGGCAAACCUCUAAUCGUUGUUGUAAAUGAAGAUUUGAUGGACAAUCACCAAAGUGAGCUUGCAGAAGAAUUGGCUGAGAGGAAGCACCUCUUCUGUGCACGCCCACAAACAUUGGGAGAGACCAUCCGAGCAAUGGACCUAGGGACGCUCGUUCCUUAUGUGCCAGGGGAUGCCAAACCAGUUGUCACCCUGAUCAACAAGUUUCUUGGCUUUCCAGUUGACUGACGAGUGAAGAUAGGCGUUAACCCCGUUAUUUGUUUCAAACAAAAUGGAUUGACUGACAUGGCGAUUGCUGAUGAUUCAAUAUUGUUGUACAGUGAUUACUGAUUACAAGAUAAUAGCAAGAUGAUCUUUCCUGGCAUUGGGCCUAAUUAGGGACACAAGGUUCAUGUCAUGUGAUUUUAUUUCUCAACUGAUUAACUGCACGGAUAUGUGGUUGUCACAUACUCACAAUCCAUGCCAGCAUUAGGCAUUCAUGUGGUGCUGGAGCUCAAAGCAAAAACUUUCAUGCUUGGGGCUCUGUAAGAAUUGAAAGUAAUAACAUCCUUGCGUGAAAAAUAUGUGUAAAUUACGACCUGUUUGAGGACGGGAUAUUGAUAAACCCACAAGAACAUUCUGAAUUUCUGAUCUCCAGCGAAUGUCUUCCAAUGCUAUGCUAUUUAAGCUUCAGUACUUAACGGUUUCAGUGAUGGAGUGAGUAAACUAUACUGUUUGCAGACCUGAAAUGGUGGGCUCUUAAAGACUUUCUUGAUGGUGUUUAGAUCAGUGCCAUAGUGGCCGAGAACUUGCACUAUUAACACCAAGCAGUACAUUGUCUGGUACCUCCAUUGUUGCUCCUAGUGUCUGCUAACUGUCCAACCCUUCCAUUGAAAGGAUUAAAUGGACAAAUAGCUAAAGUCAGAAACUACUUAUGUUCAAUGGCAACACUAUGUUCUUUUAAAGAGGAGUCUAUUUUACAGUUGUCUGAUUUUCAGCUUUAUAUAUACUAUACAUCUUUGAAUUAUUCAGACCAGCAAAUUACUUCUAUAAAAGUUACAUGCGUUUUGCCUCAUCUAAAUAUUCAAAAAAACAAUUGCUGUUAAAAUUUUGAUUCUAUUGGAAUUUUGAGGUAAAGUUAAAAAAAAGUCUUGGAAGAGGAAAAAAAUACGGCUAGCUUUGAAUAGUUACCUUUUCUUCACUACGCUUUUCCCAUUUUCCUUUUUAUCCAUCAUUUGUUUUUAUUCUUUUAGAGUUUCUGGUUUUCGUUUUUUUAACAAUAUCAAAACCAAGUGUUAGAGCUUGUCAUUUUGGAGUGAGCUUUCCGUGAUAAAAUGGUACAUUGUAAAUUUGCAGAGAUAGAAUGUAGUACAUUGUAGUUUUCCUUGCCCCACGGAUCUUAAAACCAAACAAGUCCACUGGAGGUGUGAACAUUGGUGAAAAAAGAAAGCUUUGAAACUGAGGCCAUGUUUAUUUGAGCUUUCUGGCAGCUUCUCAGUGUGAAAAAGCAAGAAACUCAAACAACGAACUCCUCGUGCAGCUUCCAAAAAGCAAGAAGUUUAGAAAAACUGAGUUUAUAUGGGAAAGCUGAAAAGUUCAAUUUUCUCAGCUUUUCGUAGCUUUUUGAGUCCAUGAAGCUAAACACAUCUUUUAAAAAGCUUGGCUUUUCAGGAAAAAAAAUCAUUACAGCUCAAACAAACUGCACCACAACAAAUUUUCUUCAGUGGAUAAACACUGCUCAAAAUCUUAGAAGAGAGGGGAAAAAAAGAUACUAUGCUCUUUCACAUUGAUUUUUCAUUGUCUACACUUUCACCAUGAGGUGAUUGCACUCGAUACUUUCUCAACGGAAAUAUAUACUAUUGCUUUCUUGACUUUGACCAUUAUUGUGUACACAACUGUUUAGGUUGAUCAUGCAAAAUUUGAAGUGUUAAACUAUUACUCCGUGUAUGUUAUGACAAGUAAUGCCAAUAAGAUACUAUGGUCAUAGUUUAUCACUCCCUUGGUUGUUUUAUAUUAUUUUGCAGGUUAUUUCAAAUUUGCUUAAUUAGGCAAAAUCACUCGCCUCACAAGUCACAAUAAGUGACGCAUCGUAGAUCUCUUUCCUCCCUUUUUGUCCUUCCUGCAGAUUCACCGCACGUUUCUUGGCCGAUGAAUCGAGCAGAAAAUGUGUGAAACAGAACCUUUUGAAAGUGAACAGAAUUUGUUGACAUCCACUCCUUGUUUGAACUUGUACCAAAUUUAAUCUGGCCAUUACACGGAACCCUAAAAAAAAAUUCAUCAGUGCGUAAACACUUCCCCUCAGAAAAAUUGAGAACAUUAUUCCUUCUCAGCCCAGCUACCCUCCCAAGUCCCACCUCUCCGUUUUCCUAAUUUUCGCCGAUCUCUCAAUUCCUCCCCACCUUUUUCUUGGGUUUCUCCCCCAUCACGUAAAGCACAAAGCCGCGGCCCGCGGACACAAGAAGAGCGAGAGGCAACGAACCAACCCGCUCGGACGGGUGAGCGGCGCGUGUGGAGGAAGCAGCACACGCAGAGCGGCGAGACGCGGACCGGGUCGCCGUGACGAAGAGAGGAGGCCCAUGAAGCCGCCGCCGCCGGAGGCGCUGCCCGGCGGCGCCGGCCUCUGGCGGCCCGUCGCCGCCGCUCGCGGGGGCGGAUGGGCCACGGCCGCCGCGCUCCUCCUCGUCGUGGUCUCCCACCUCGCCGCCCUCCUCGUUCGCCGCCGCCUUCGCCGUGGCGGCCGAAUCGCGCAGCCGGAGGCCGUCGCGGCGGCGCCCGCGCCGGCCUCCGCGUCCCCCGGCUCCGCCUCAGAGUUGGUUCCCCCGUACUCCUCUGAUCGAGAUAUGCGCCUCUGGUUGGUCAUUGCGGUGAUUGGGCUUGGCUGAUUCUGAUUGUGCCAUGUAUUCCCCUUGGUUGAUGCCAGGCUAGAGGGGCUCGUGACGGAGGACGAUCUGAGGCAGCUGGUGGGCAGCCUCGGCGUGGGCGCGCGCGAGCCGGAGACGGAGGGCUGGGAGCACGUGAUCUCCAAGGGGAACGACGAUGUCUCCUACAGGGUCUGGUGCGACAAGCCCACGGUAUUGCUAGCGCAUCUCCCUCUCGCCUCGUUGUGAAACACAGUAAUACUCUGGGAAAACUCACGUCCAGGCUCAAUUGGAUUUUGAGAUUCUGGUUAGGCACCUCAUAUAUCCGAAUGGAAUUGUUUUCACUUGUGAAUUAAGGUGUGAAAAUUACCCCUUAGGAUGUUUACAUUGUAAUUCCUGAGAGUUCAAAAUGGUUUCAAGUGUAACCGCGAAACAUGUGUAGUCUGCUUCAAUUUACUUGGGUCUUGGGUUGUUUCUCAAUUCUAUGAUUAAAUAAUUGAUGUUGUUAUCAUUGUUGUUGUGCUCUUACCAUGUUUCUAUUGACGCCUUUCAUCUGUUAUAGCCUUUCACCAUCCAGUGUCAGUUGCAAAUAGUUCAUGCAGUCAUGCGUUUCAUUUCUGAUGAUACUUUUGUUCUUGCAGGCUGGUCCUCCUAAAUAUCUAAGUAUUACAACAUAUGAGAGAUGCUCAACAGAGCAGUUGAGGGACUUCUAUAUGGAUAAUGAGUACAGAAUGGAGUGGGAUAAGACUGUCACAAAGCAUGAGCAGCUGCAGUAUGAUGAGAACAGUGGGGUGGAGGUAGGGCGAACGAUUAAGAAGUUUCCACUUCUGACACCAAGAGAGUACAUAUUGGCAUGGCGAGUCUGGGAAGCAAAUGACAAGUCUUUCUAUUGUUUUAUCAAGGUUAGCUUCACCCCACCUUCCUGCUUAUAACUUCAGUGUUUGAGUUGAUGAAGAAUGAAAUAGAUGAAGCUAUAAUUGUUGUAUUGGACUGCAAUCUAGAAUGUCCAUAGCUCAUCUGGAGUUCCAGUUUCAAUGAUUUACAUCAUAUGCUGAAAAAAUUCAACCAGUACUCCAAUACACAUCCUCUUUUUUUAUUGAUCAAGCUGUUUUCCUUCAUUGUGGACACAUCACUGGAAAUGAGCUAAGCUGGCAUGCUUCUUUCAUGCUUGAGAUACCCUAUAUGUGUUGCAUAUGGCAUUUCUGACAGCUGAUUUUCCUUUACCUCUCUACUAACUUGGCGUUUUUUCUUAAUAAUGUUGCCUAAUUUGCCAUGCGUAAAUUGUUAAUCCUGACAGGAAUGUGAACAUCCUCUUGCUGUACGGCAGAAAAAGUUUGUUAGAGUGCGUCUUCUAAGAUCAGGAUGGUGUAUCAGGAAAAGUAAGUGAUCUUUGAAUUUUGUGUAAGCCCAUCUUUGUUCUGCCUAAUCCUGUUUUUGUUUCACCCUGAGAAAAGGAUUCUUUCAAGGAAAAACAGAAAAUGACAUGCAGAUUCAUUUAUCAUGUAGAUGUAGUUGCUUGCUAUCACAUGAUUUGUGUUAUGAAUAAAAAAUGCUAGCCUCUUCUAUUUCCCCAAAUCCGUUUCGAGAUUUAGUGCACUUAAUAUGCUUUCUCUCAGCACAAACCUUUACAGAUAUAAGUUAUGGUGGCCUACUGGCCUUCACUGAUAUCAGUUUUUUUACUCAAGUGCUUGCUUUCUACAGGUUCUAUCCCUACCCAAAAUUAGAAAAAUAUGUGUUGAAGAUUUUUUUCCCCUUAAUUUGCAAAAAGACUUGGAUAUUACAAUCAAAGUAUCAAACCUGAUGAGACAUUCUUUGUUUGUUGUCAGAGUAUAUUGUUUCUGUUCCAUUUCAGUUACUUUUUCUAUGUGAUCCUGAUGAUUUGCCUGUAUCUUGUGCCAAUUUAGUGUAUAUUGAAACGUGGAAACAAAUGGAAGGACAUUCCAGUUUUGCUUUACUUUAUUUGUUGAAAUAUAAUCAUAAUAAAGUCUCUAAAGAAUUAAAUCUUUGGGAUACACAUGUUUAUGUUCUUUUCUAUUUUAUAUUACAGUCCCUGGCAGGGAUGCAUGCCAAAUCACAGUGCUGCAUCAUGAGGAUAAUGGAAUGAACAUAGAGAUGGCAAAGCUAGCCUUUUCCAAGGGCAUCUGGAACUACAUAUGUAAAAUGAACAAUGCUCUACGUCGCUAUCCUCAGCAUCGUAGUCCAUCAGUAUCGAUCCUGACCAUGCAAAGACUUACGAAGAAGGUGAGCCCUCUUCAUUAGUUUAGUAUAUCAAAAAUUGUGGUUUUUGUGUUUUCUUAUGAUGCAACGGAGGACACUUAUGUGUUAGCCCUGUGAUGAAACCUGUUAUGGAAUGUAGUUUUUGUGUCUGCAGCAUCUCUGUUAUCAAAUUAUAAUUGAACUGCAGUGUUAGUGCAGGCGAUGCUAAUGUUUUUUUGAGAUUUGAAUAUGUUUUGUAAUGCCUAAUGCUUGCAAGCCUAUGUAAAUCAAUGAAGCCUUUUCUUUGAAAAAUAAAGUUUGAAUUAAGCAACGACAUAAUUUGAGUAGGCUACUUAUGUUGCCAAGACCGUAUUGUGUUAAUGCUCUGACAAAGCUAAGUUUCUUUUCUUACCAGUUUCCCCAGGACUUGGAGGCUGCCAUGAAUGCAAGUCUUCCAGCUUCCCAGACUACAGCAGCAACUGUUGUUCCUUCAACACGGACAUCACCAUGCAAGCUACCAGGUAAGAAGUCUUCUCGGCAAAUGAUCGCGAGCGGGCUUCUGCUGGUUGGAAGCAUCGUUUGCCUAUCUCGAGGCCGAUCCAACCUUGGUGCUCAGCUUGCGAUGGCCUUGUUCCUAAAGAAGGCCUUCAAGCAAGAGAGAGAAUCAGGUUCAUCAACAUCAAGGGGGAAAACAAACGUGACUAGAUCCAGGCGGUAGCAGCAGUAUUGGUUUAAGCCAUGGAGACUACCUAUUAUUAGUAUUAACGUGAAUUAGAAAAAAUGGCUACACUCUGCUUGAAUGGAUACUGAUUGUAAAGAGUUUUUCCUGCACGAAAUUAUGUAAAUAAUCGUUUUGAAAUAACUACAAAUAUGCACACGGUAAAAUUUUGUUAUUUCAUCGAGUUGAUGCGAAUAUGUUUUCCUGGAAUAUACUUACUACACAAGUCGGUAUUUAUAGUUUCGAACCACCGGAAUCUGUGCUGUGAUGUGUACUUAGUCAAAUCUACCAAUGUACCACUGGCUGAUCGAAGCUUUCGCAGAGGUAUAACCUCUGAAGGCUGAUUUAAUCGCAGGCAUUUUCGCCAGAACGAUCACUAACAAUUUGCACAGCAAGGUUUUAUCAGAGAGCUAAGUGUUUACGGUAUGGUCAAUGAAAAAUCAUUCAGAGAUCAAGCAAUCAACUGGAGCAGACUCAAAACCAGCACUGUCAAUAUUACAGAAGAAAUUGAUCUUCAAAGCUUACACACUAAAACAUCAGUGCAGGACCUUAGGUCACCUCACAGUGUGGUCUUCCAUGAGUCCGUCACUGCUUGAAAAGCAAAAUUGGCGGCUUGGUGGUGUCCACACUCCACAGUCCACCGCAACGGAUGGAAUAUAGAUGCAACAGAGUGUUUUCUUCUCUACAUACGGUACGGAAGCGGAUUGAAACACUCACAUGCAGGAACGCUGAUCUUUAACCCACCCUAUAUGUCGAUUCGGGUGGUCAGCUUGUUAGAGUGCGGAGCUGGCCAUCCCGGGUCUAUUCCCGUGGAUCGUGCCCCUGAUAGAGUGCGGGACGGACCGGUUGGGGUUUGAACCCUGAUCAUCAUGCCAUGUUCCUCAGGGUGGUAGGAGGUUAAUCUACCAUCUGACAUCUGCUAACCCACCCUAUAAAUAUCUUAAAUUGGCUCGACAUAUUUUGGAGCUGAAAGAUAAUAGGAAAAAGUCCAAUUUUCACCCUUCAAUCUAUAUCUAUACCUAUACCUAUUAUUAAAGCGAGUAACGUCUCUGCUAAUUUUUUCGUCCGUCGUGGUCAUUUUACAAAAAAGUCCCUCAACUUUCAAGGAAUCAACCCGCGGUCCAUAUUCUAAAGAGAGGAAUGGCUCGGGUGGAAAAACGAGGGAAGGGAGGGGGUUAAAGGGAAAAAUGCUUCUCUUUCUCCAAAACAAAGAGGCGCAGGAGGGGAUCGGGCGCGGGCGGCUGCUGGAGCGCUUCCCUCGUCUAUGCUACAGAUCCUACCGACCUUGGGGGAGAUGGCAUGGAGAGCCUGAGCGAGAAAUGUGCCGACUGUAGAACACUCCACCAUGUACUUUGAUGGUGCCCUCAACCUCAAAGGAGCCCAUGUGGGGGUCCUCUUCAUAUUCCCAAGAGGUGAGCAGCUCAAAUACGUGCUCGACAUCCACUACAAGGCCAUCAACAAUAGUGUCAAGUAUGUAUCUCUCAUCCACGGGCUCUGCAUCACCGUGUCCCUAGGAAUCAAGCGCCUCCUUGCUUACGGCGACUCCAAGGUCAUCAUCGAGCAUGUCAACAAGAAUUGGAACUGCACCAAGGAGUCCAUGGACGCUUACUGCAUGGAAAUCCGCAAGCUUGAGGACCACUUUGAUGGUCUUGAGUUCCAUCAUGUCCCNNNNNNNNNNNNNNNNNNNNNNNNNNNNNNNNNNNNNNNNNNNNNNNNNNNNNNNNNNNNNNNNNNNNNNNNNNNNNNNNNNNNNNNNNNNNNNNNNNNNGAUGGAACGCACGCCGGGAGCCACCGCGCCCCGUCCGCUGCGCCUCUUCCGCUCCCCGCGGCUUCACGCUCCGCGCUCAGAUCUUCCCGCUCGCUCGCAUACUCCUCCUCGCUCGCUACGCCCUGCAUCGCCGCCGCCGCCCGCCAGCUCGCUUGCCCUGCUUUGCCGCCGCAGCUUCUCCUCGUUUCGGUCUCCGCUGCGCCGCAUCCGCCGCCGCCGUGCGCCGCCCCUCCGAGCCGUCGACCGCGCCGCCGCCGCCGCCGCGGACGACGGAUCCACAGCCGGAUGCAUCGCCAUCUUCCAAUCCUAGACGCCGCACACCUAUCACCACAAAGGUGCCGGUCGGGCAGGGAUGCGGCGGCCGGACGGAGCGAGUCGCCGAGCUAGGGUUCGAGGGCACGCGCGUCCUCGGCGAGCCCGUCCAUCUCCGACAUGGCUGGUGCGGCAGCUGUAAUCGCCCGCGGAGGACGAGGCGGAUACAGCAUAUGGAGCCCGAUUUCUGGCCCCUGCCCUGCGGCUGCCCUCUCCUCCCCUUGUUGGCCAAUCGUGCGAUCCCUGAUGGAGGAGAAGGCUCUGGCUUCCAUAACCUCCAUGGAAAGAGAUCGACGGCGGCUCUGGUGGACGCGGCCCCAUCACCGAGUGGAUGAGGCAGCGGCGUCGCCACCCCUCUCGAUGGUCUGCCCUCCUCCUCCCUAGCAGGUUUGUUUGUCUGUGUUGCUCCUUACAGCCAGCAACAUGCCAACGAAGUGUUUGUUAAAAUGCUAGAAUGCUUCAGCCUUCAGAGAUCAUGUCUUGCCGAUUAAGAUGGAGAUGGAUCAACAACCUCCUGUGGCGGCGCAACAUGUGCAAGUAUGUCAUUGGGGUCGCACAUCGGAUGCCUGCUGCUGCGUUGCCUGAUGUUUUGCUGUAGAAUUUCCACUAAGGGUAUCAGGAUGAGCCUACCAUGGAGAAAGCUCACGGGUGAGGGCCCUUCCUUCUACUUCAGCUCUGAUGCACACCAGUUGCUUGUUGUAUUGCCUGAACAAAAGAUUGACUACCUACUACUUCAGGUCCAUGGAUCAUCAUCAAACUUGGAAGAGGUGAAUGGUCUGCCUGGUGGUAAGGCCAAGAAAAAGGUUGUUUAUAUAUCUUACCAUUAGGAUCAUCAGGGUUGAGCAUUACUGAGAUUGGUAGCGGAAGAAAUCAUGUUCAGGAGAAAGCAUGCCUCUCAUUUCAACCUAAAAGGUUGUUCUCUGAAUCCUGAUCAAGUAACCACAUACACGCUAACUGCCUUUUAGCCUGAUGUUUCUGUUGAAGCGGAAACCGGCAAAAUGUACAGGGCAAAUUUUCGAGAUAAAGAGGGGAGGGCCGUUGUUAUUAUGAUUUAUGAGACCUACAAAGGAGGCAAGGCUUCCUCUUCUGAAUUGCCAUUCCUUCUUCCUAAAAGUCAGUACUCUCUCUAGAAUGCUUACCCCAAUAUUCACCUGUAUGCUUUUCUUAAAUUUCAGAAUACAACAUCCCAUGACAGGCAAAUCCGAUUCACCUGUAUGCUCUGUGAAGAUAUUAUUUAUUUUAUUUUAUGAAAAGGUCAGUAUUGGUGGAGCAAUCCUUCUGAAAUCUCUUUGAUUUUGAGAGUAUACAUUUCUGCUAAAUUCAUCUCAUCUAUUGUCCAUCUGACAGUUAAGAACUCUUUUGCAACAAGUUGUUCUUUACCUGGAGCUGUAUGUAAGUACACUCUAAAUUCUGAAGCUUACUGUGCCAUAUCCAGGUGUGUGAUGCUGCCACAAAAUGAUAAUCUGCAUUAGUAAUGCAUAAUACGUAUUGGGGCACCUAGACCAGUGGUAGACCAUUCUUUCAUUCAUGUUUUAAUACGAUGAAGAUUGACGCUAUCUUCAUAUUAUGGGUUGUUAGCAUGUAUGCUACCAAAUUCCUUCUUGCCUCUUGGACUGUUAAGAGAAACCAUGGGCUCUUGGAUUGGAGGCCAGAUCCUGCUGCAGCAAGCAGCUCAGGUAAAAAGAGGCAUGAGUGCUUUUUCUUCGGUUCGGAACUUUAGUUUCAUGCCAUUUGAAAUGUUAGAUUUUCAUUAGAGUAUGCAGAGCCAAUCAUUUUUUUGAAGAAUUCAAAUCAGCCACUCAGAAUUUCUGCUGUAAUGGAGGAGUUUUGGCCACAACGAAAGAUUACAUGCAUGUCUAUUUCCUUGCUGUUGCUGUAUGGUCUUAUGGGGAAGUUUGACUAUUAGGCAAUAAUGGUCAACUAAUAGUACAAUAGUAUUUGGAAGAGCGACUGUACAUGAAUCGAUAGUAUGCAUCAUAGAAGAGCAACUGCAUACAUGAAUCUUAGGCUGUUACCAAGAUCGCUGAAAUUUUGUAUUUGGAAAAUUGCAGUAUUCCAAAGAAAUAUUAAUACAAUAUUUAAGUACGUGAAUUAACUAUUUUCUUUUGAUAUAUUGCUUUGCUGAAUGCGAGGUGUAUUGUACUAUGAAUUUUUCACUGCCCGUUGCAACGCACGGGCACGAUCCUAUAAGAAGAAAAUUAUUUUAGAGAGGGUAAAGACCCGUAGCAACGCACGGGCAUUUCUGCUAGUUAUAACAUAAGUCUGAUUUUCAACCUAUAACUACAAAAUUUGGACCUUCGGGGGUUUCAAGAGUGGUUUUGCAUUUUCUAAAAUUUUUUAAAAAAUUAGGUUUAAUGGAAAAAUUCAUAAUUAAUUCAUUUCAAAUAAGAAAAAUAUCAAAUCGGUGCCAAAAAACUUCUAAAAAUGUAACCUAUCUAUUGGUGUUAUAUUUGGAAUUAUUUGAUUCUUAGUUGUUCAUGUUCCUUAUGUUUUAUUAUGAGCAAUAAAAUACUAGGAGUAGUAACAAAUAUGAUGUAAACAACACCAAAUAGAGUGCCAACAAAUAGCCUACAUUUUUAGAAAACUUUUUGUGCCAACUUCAUAUUUUUGGAUUUGAAUGAAUUAGUUAUGAAUUUUUUUGAUCAAAUCAAAAAAAAUUAAAUUUCUAGAAAAUGCAAAACCACCUUCAAAACCACCCAAAGGGUCAAAUUUGCCCGGUUUUGACAGUUGAAUUGGAUUGCCCUCCCUGUCCGGUUUUGUAGUUGCAAGUUGAAAAUCAGACUUCUGCUAUAGUUGGAGUAGUUGGAGGUUGAAAAUUAGACUUUUCCAAAGAAAUAAUGGAAGAUUUAAAUUACCAGCAACCACGGUUAAGUAUCAGCUAUCUUCCUUUUUUUCAACAUGUAAGAAUCUUUAAACUUGUUGCUAACAUGAUUUGGCUACCAGAAAGUGACAUGGCCUUAUUGUAUCUGCUUGAGCCAAGACAAGCUUGGAUGAAAAGUAGAGCACUCAACAUAGUUUAGAUAAAAAUCAUUUUAGCAAAAGAAAAGAUAAAAUCUUUAAAUCCCUAUAGUUUUCAUCAAUUCUAUGCCACUGUUUCUUUCUAGAAAAUAUGGUCCUCCCUGUUUUUCGUUCCUGCAUCCCAAAUACACAAAGUUAGGGCCUGUUUGGCAGAGCUCCACGCAGCUCCAGAUCCUUAAAAACAGCUCCGCUCCUAUUUUUUCCAGCCAAACGGUGCAGCUCCGUGAACUCCAGAUCCGCAAAAAAAUUGGAUCCAGCUCCCAGAUCCACCAAUUCCACGGAGCACCCAAGGGGGUGCUCUCAAAACGCUGGUUUUGUAACCUCUCAUGGAGUUGGUGGAAAUUACCCACCAAUGCCAUCGAUUACACACAUCUCGUACCGGUUCGCCCUCUGUUUUAUUUUCUCCGCGCCGCCCCUCUGUUCUUUCAUCCGACGCCUUGUCCUUCUCCUCCCCCGCCGCAUCCAGCGCCGGCCGCCGCCUCGUCUCCGUCGGUGGCCGGACCGCCGCCGGGAAUGAGAAGAUCAGAUCCUCCUCCACCUCCUCCGCCCCCUUCAUCUUCCAAUCCGGCCCCUAGGGUUGGACUUUCACGUCCCGGCCCCAUCACUGGCGCGCCCGGCGGCGGGAGCGUGGCCGUCGCGGGCCUGGGCGGCGCGCCCGGCGGCGCGGGCCUGGGCGGCGCGCCUGGCGGCGGGACCCUAGGCGGCGCGCCCGGCGGCGCGGGCCUGGGCGGCGCGCCCGGCGGCGGGACCCUGGGCGGCGCGCCCGGCGGCGGGAGCCUGGCCGCCGCGGGCCUGGGCGGCGCGCCCGGCCUGGGCGGCGCCUGCCUAGCCGCGGCUGGCCUGGGCGGCGCGCCAGGCCUGGGCGGCGCAAGCCUAGCCGCGGCUGGCCUGGGCGGCGCGGCCGGCCUGGACGGCGCAAGCCGGGCCGCGGGUGGCCUGGGCGACGCGGAUGGAUUGGUAAGAAUAUCUGAUGAUGAUGAUGAUGGCGAGCCGAAAUGCAGAAAUGUUUCUUUGUUCUACUGGAUGGGGAUUCUCAGCUGUUGCUGGUUCAAGGCUGGGUGCCUGUACUGUCCCUACAGUUUUUCAUCUGAUUCCAAGCUGAACAAUCAAGAUGAAGGCCAAACCAGACAUUUAGCCGCUUAGUUACCCAUGGAAUCUAUUCAUUUCUAUUGAUCUGUCCUAGUUGUCUAGGUUCAAUGAUUUGUUUUAGGUAGCUGCUGUUGCAAUAGCUUAGCGUGAUGGUAGUACCAUCUGCAUGACAGAUGGAUACACAUUGGUUUGGUUUGUCUUUUAUUCUUUUGCUUCUGUCACAUGCUUGGAUUUUAGUUCUGCGGAGUAGGCGGGUUCUUGUGAUGAUUGGUUAUAAGUUGUCUAUUUUGUGACGGGAAUGAAACAAUUUCUUCCAGGUUUGCUUGAUCUUAUGUAGAAUGCAGUAUGCUAGAACUUUGAUAUCUUUGUUCUUUAAUUUGUGACCGGUUUCAUAUUUGCUAAGGAAUAAUAUACCCUGAUGAUCAAAAGCAUACAAUUGCUCAAUUUCAUCGGCUUUGCAACACCAUUUUUCUACUCAUAACUAAUUUGCAAUUCUGCAUUUUAUUUUGUAGUGUCUGGGUAGGAGAUAUGAGCUUCUUCCAUACCUAGUUAUUUGUUUGUGCAACAUUUGAUCCUAAGGAAAUCUUUAGUACACUCACAAGUCACAAGUGAGAUGUGCUAGGCGUUAGAACAUGCACAAGUGAGAUGCACUAGCUGUUAGAGCACAAACAAGGGAAAUGCACUUGCGGUAGAGCACACAAAAGGGGGAUGCAUCCAUGGAGUUGGCAUUGAGCUGGCAUGGUGUCAUUGUGCGGCUUGUCGUGAGGGGUAGUGCACAUCACUUUGGUACGCAGAAACGGAUACUGUUCACGUCCGUUGCUUGUUUAACAACCUAUUGUAGGAAAUAGUAGCAUGUUUUUAAAACUUGGAUGGUGUAGAGGUGUCCUUGUAAUCAUAGAGUCAAGGAGUAAAAUUGUAGUCGUCCUUUUCAGAUCAUACAACACUGUUGUGCACUGCAUGUUCUAUGCUUUAUAUCAAUACUAACAAGUUGAAAGGAUUUGCCUAUGAACCCUGAGUUAAUUUUGAACUUUUUGCGACCAUCACUUUUACAAAUACUGCAACAUUUUCGGAUAUCCAAUAACACAACUAUAUCUAGACAUUUGUCAGUAUUAUUAUGGCUUCAAGAGGGGUUGUCCUCACUCACUAUCAUCGCUAUCAUAGUUCUGGCAGAGGGACUGGAGAACAUUGGUUUGCAUUGCAGGUUCACUCUUUUGUUCUGCUACUGGUGCUUUAACGAUCCAUUGUGGUGUAACUACAUCACACGUCUAAACCUUGAUAUAUACUUUCAGUUUUCUAAAUGUGAACUUCUGAAAUUGUGACUAGGAGUGUGUAUUGCAGUAUUACUACACAUUACCAUCACCCCAAAAAAACUCCAUUUUAAUCUACUGUUUGUGAUAGUUGACUAUUGGCAAAUGGCAUGUAGGACGCGGUGAUCGGUGAUGAGUUCCUGAUGGCGUCGCAGGCAUCUUCUACGCCGGUUGCGCAAGCUAGGAGGCGUGCUGCAUCAGCUAACAAAAGGGCAAGGGAUGAUGAGGUAUAUUUUUCUUCCAUUGUAGUCGAGCUGUUGUAUAAUAGAGUUGAAAUUUGAACAAUAUUUUGGAGAAAUCAUUAAUAGGGUGAUCAUAUGGAUUGGAAUGAUGGCUAUACCACCAUUGUUUGCAAGUUGUUUGCUGAACAAGUUAGAAAAGGAAAUCGACCAAACACUCAUUUGAACAAUGUGGGAUAUUCCGAGGUGAAGAAGGUUUUUUCAGAGUACCGGUAUCAUGUUGAAAAAAAAGUCAACUUAAGAACAAGUGGGAUAAGUUGAGGGGUGAUUUGUCUGCAUGGAAAAAAUUAAUGAGAAAGCAAACUGGUACUGGUUGGAACUGGGAGAAGGGAACUAUCAAUAUGGACGCCGAGUGGUGGAAAAAAACAAAAAAGUGAGCACUUCUCGCAUGGUAUUUUGUUCAUAUAUAGAUUAUAUUAGUCUUGUAUAAUUUCAAUUUAAUACCUUUGUCAAACACUUUUAGGACAUUCCUGGCGUGGGGAAAUUUAAGAAUAGGCCUCUCCAAAACGAAGAUGAGUUGAAGGUGAUGUUUGGAAACAUCAUUAAUGAAGAGCAAGAUCAUUGGAAUCCUAUGAGUUCCAACCCCAUCAUACCCCCAAGCCAAGAAGCACCCAAUCCUAUGAGUUCCAACUUCAUUGAUGCCGAGGAUGGGUUAGAGAUGGGUGGUAACAAUGAUUUAGACAAUGGCGAUGAGGUCCAGGAGGUUUCUCCUUCCGUUGCCAAUGCUAAGAAAAAAGUACAUGUGAUCCUUGAUAAACCUAACAAGAAAUCUAAGGCAAGCACAGCAUUAGUUAUACAAGAACACAUCUCCAAGAUAUCAGAUAAUGCUUCCUCUUUUGUGGCAAGCAGGCAAGCUGGGAUCACUAUUGAACAAGUAAUGGACCAUGUUGCCGCAUGUGGGGCUGCGUGUGGCAGUGAUGAGCAUUUUGUGGCAACUGAGCUUUUUGUCAAGAAAGAGCAAAGGGAAAUGUUCAUGACUAUUCCCACCAAUGAGGCUAGGUUUAGUUGGCUUAAGAGGAAGUACGAUAUGAUGUUUGCAAAGUGAUGGCCGAGUGAUUUGCCAUCUUUUUUUUAGACAUGUCAUUUUUAUUCAUCUAUGUCAUAUGGACAAAUUUUUGAUGUUUAAUUUGUUGUUAUUUUUUAUUCAUCUAUCUUGUGUGGAUAAUUUGUGAUGGUCAAAUUGUUGUCAUUUUUUAUUCAUCUUAUGUUGUUAUUUGGACAUGUUAUUUUUAUUCUUGCAGUUGUCUAGUGAUGAUUCUAGUGAUGAGAAUGAGGAAUUUUUCAAAACUAUCCUAGGAGGUGCUAUGCUUGCUCAAAUAUAUGUUGAUAUGUUCCUUACUAAAAACCCUACAAGGACAUCUACCACCAGUGGAAUGGGUUUUAUUUUGGAGACUUUGCACACUCCAGGCGAAUGCCAUAGCCAGUUGCGUAUGAGCACAGAAAUCUUCUUUGAUCUUCAUGGCUUAUUGGUACAGAGGUAUGGGUUAAAACCAUCGUUGCACAUGUCUACCGAAGAGAGUCUAGGAAUUUUCUUAUUUAUCUGUGCGGGAAAUGAGUCUAAUAGAAAAUGUCAAAAUCGAUUCAAGCACUCUGGUGAAACUAUUAGUCGAAAAUUUGAGAAUGUUCUAAACUGUUUGAUGGCCAUGGCAAAGGAUUUCAUUAGGCCAAAAGAUCCAAAUUUUCAUAAUGUUCAUAGGAGAAUAAGGGAUGAUAGGCGAGCAUAUCCACAUUUCAAAGAUUGCAUUGGAGCACUUGAUGGCACCCAUAUUCGUGUUUCCCUUCCACCGGAUGAUCAAGUGAGGUAUAUCGGGAAGACAGGGAUAGCCACCCAAAAUGUUUUAGCAGUCUGUGAUUUCGACAUGCGGUUCACAUAUGUGUCAACGGGCCAACCAGGAGCUAUGCAUGACACAAGUGUGUUAUACAAUGCAUUGAGUGUGGACGAGAAAUUCUUUCCACAUCCACCGCAAGGUAAAAUUUAUUGGAAUAAUUAUUUUACCAUUAUACGUGACUACAAAUAAAUUUAUUUUUUGUCAUCAUUUGUAGGUAAAUACUACGUUGUCGAUGCGGGGUAUCCCAAUCGUCCAGGUUAUCUAGCUCCAUAUAAGGGUGAGAGGUAUCAUAUGCCUGAGUGGCAUAGAGGUAUGGAACCAAAAACUCCAAAGGAAAAAUUCAAUCGCAUCCAUUCUUCUAUUCGAAAUGUGAUUGAGCGAUCUUUUGGCGUAUUGAAAAUGAAGUGGCAAAUUUUAUACAAAAUGCCGAACUACCCGAUGUGGAAACAAAAAAUGGUAGUUAUUGCUUGUAUGGUCCUUCACAAUUUCAUUCGUGAGCAUAAUAGUGAGGAUUCAGACUUUGCUCGGUUUGAUCGUGAUCGUCCCUACAAUACCGCAACGGUACAAUCCAUUUGUAGUUCCAUCGGAUGGAUCUACUUCAGAAGGCAGUGUCACUACAAUGGAUAUUUUUCGCGAUGAGCUGGCCACCAAUCUUGCUCUUGCUUGGAGGUAGAAUGUAAUGAAGUAGUGAAUUAUCAAAUUUAUUUUCUAUGUAUGGACAAUUAUUUAUGUAUGAACAAUUAAUUUAUGUAUGAACGAUUAAUCAACUUCUUGGGAAAAUGACCGGAUGCAUGCGUAUAUAAAAAAAACAUGUCAACACGUGAUUGUGCUGGAGACCUGUAUGUCUUCCUCCGGCCAUUUUUCUUUUUUCAGAAAAAAAAAUGAGAAGAAAAAAUGGAAAAAACAUGUCUACGUGAUUGCGCUGGAGACCUGUAUGUCUUCCUCCGGCCAUUUUUCUUUUUUCAGAAAAAAAAUGAGAAGAAAAAAUGGAAAAAACAUGUCUACGUGAUUGCGCUGGAGACCUGUAUGUCUUCCUCCGGCCAUUUUUCUUUUUUCAGAAAAAAAAUGAGAAGAAAAAAUGGAAAAUACUAAGGGUAUUAGUGGACAAUCCAACCAAAAACUCUAUUUCUGGAUUUGGAGCUGUUGUCUCAGCCAAACACUUUUGCUCAGCUCCACGGUGAGAACAUAGAUCCACGCUGGAGCUGCUCUGUAGUGGAGCUACUGUUUUUUUGGAUCUGGAGCUGCGUGAAGCUCUGCCAAACAGACCCUUAGCUUUGAACGCAAACUCUGUAUGCAAAUCGGGGGCUAACGCAUGAGCGCCGCUCCGCCGUCCUCCCGGCAUGAGCGACGCCGACGCGGCCCCGGCGGCCGCCUCCCUGAACCACUGGAACCGCCUGAUCCAGCUCGCCGCCGCGUCGGGCUCCUACGCCGACUGCCUCCGCCUCUACGCGGGCUCCCUCGUCGCCGCGGGCCUCCGCGGCGACGCCUCCACCUUCCCUUCCCUCGCCAAGUCCUGCGCCGCGCUGCGCCUGCCCGGCCUCGGCCGCGCCAUCCACGCCCGCGCCUUCCUCUCGGGCGCCGCCGUCUCCCGCGACGCCUUCGUCCGGACCUCGCUGAUCGACAUGUACGCCAAGUGCGGCCGCCUCCCCGACGCGCGCCGCCUGUUCGACGAAACGCCGCGCUCGAGCAGGACGCUGGUCGCCUGGAACUGCAUGGUCUCGGCGUACGGGAGGAGCUCUCAAGUCGAGGAGGCCGUCGCGGUGUUCAACGCCAUGCGGCGCGCGGAAGUCAGGCCCAGUGGGAGCACGCUCGUCGGCCUUCUGUCGGGGUGCGCGGACUCCGUGUCCGCAAGGAACCUCGGCGUGUGCCUCUACGGGCUUAGCGUCAAAUCAGGGCUUGAUGCAGAUUUGCUUGUCUCGAAUUCGGUGCUCACCAUGCUCGUCCGUGGCAACCAGCUGGGCGCUGCACGAUCACUGUUUGAUCGUGUGGAGAACAAGUCUGUGGUUACUUGGAGUGCAAUGGCAUCGGGUUAUUUGCAAGCAAAGGACUGUAUAGAAGUGUUUGAUCUGUUCAGAGUCAUGAGGGCAGCAGAGCAGAGUAUGGAUUCCGUUUUGCUUGCCAAUCUGACCACGGCUGCUACGCUGUUUGGAAACCUGUUGGUGGCUAAGGCUGUGCAUGCUCUUGUUAUCAAGGGUGGUUUUCAGUGCCAGAAUGAUCUGGCAGCAUCCUUGGUAAAUUUGUAUGCAAAAUGUGGGGAUCCUUUGGCUGCUAAAGAGAUAUUUGAUUCGGUUCACUACAAGAACGCUGUGCUAUGGACAUCAAUGCUAAAUGGGUAUGUUGAAUGUGGUUGUCCAGAUAAGGCCCUGGAAACAUUUGAUGCCAUGCUGUGCGCAAAGGUGGAACCAAACAAAGCAACUUUAUUAGCGGUUCUUUCUGCAUGCGCUAAUUUGGGAUACCCUAAUCUUGGCCUUCAGGUCGAGGAGCAUGUCAUAGCAAUGGGACUGCAGUCAGAUCUUCAAGUUUCUACUGGACUAGUAGAUAUGUACUGCAAGUGUGGGAGCAUUCAGCAUGCUAGAGAAAUAUUUGACAGUGUUUCUAAUAGGGACCUAGCUAUCUGGAGUGCCAUGAUUAAUGGCUAUGCUUGCAAUGGAGAGGGCAGUGAGGCUGUCACCCUUUUCAGUGAGAUGCAAAACAGGGGUGUUCGACCAGAUGCCAUUGUAUUUACUCAUAUUCUAACAGCAUGCAACCAUUGUGGUUUAGUAGAUGAAGGUCUUAACUGCUUUCAUAGCAUCGCAAUGGAAUACAGUAUCAAACCAUCUAUCGAGCAUUAUAUGUGCAUGAUGGAUUUGCUUUGUAAAGCUGGUCAUCUUAGUAGUGCUAUGAAGUUUUUUAAGGAGAUGCCUGUUCAGUUGCGAAACCAGGUUUUGGCUCCUCUAAUUAGUGCACACAGAGCUCAUGGUGUCGAUUCAUCCAUAGAGUUUGUAUCAGAGGAAUUGCUGAAUCUGGACUCCCAAGAUUCUGGCCACUGUAUCCUAAUUUCUAAUAUGCUCAGUUGCUUAGGUGAGUGGAAGAAGGCCAGAAAUUAUAGGAGGAUAAUAAGCAAGCAAGGAUUAGUCAAGAAACCUGGGUGCAGUUACAUUGAGCUGGGUGCCUAACAGAUGCCAAUGGUUCUUUCAGGUUCUCAAUUAAGGUGGGAGGAUUGAUUCUUCUUAUGAACUCAAGUCCAAUCUGUAUUUCUGAUAUUAUAAACUUACAAGUUACAACUAAUGAGAUUUAGUAUGAUGCUGGAAUUUGCAUCCAACCAUUGAUUUGGUGUGACAAAAUGCAAAGAUAGUGCAGAACACCAAUCAGGAGACGAUGCUCUGGAGUGGGGCUUAAUGAGGGUAAUGUUGAAGGGCAUUCCCAAUGUUAGUUGCUGUUGGUUGUGAUCCUUUUAACAGAACACUGCAAAAUAACAUUUCCAUAUCUACCCACAGUUGCAGCAUAUGGUAAGGUCUUGCACAUGAGUUGCAUGAAAGUUAGAUUUCAUUUUUCCAUUUGAUGAUUAUCAGACAUGGUACCUUGUGGAUUCAAUAAUCAAUAUCUUCACUCUGAACCUAUUUUUUGCAUUUUAGGAACUUCUGCAAUCCCUUAGGCCUUAGACUCACUGUUAACUCAGUUUAAGUACUAUAUGGUUUUCAAUUAACUCGUAGCAAGAACCAACGUUGCAUUAAGGAAUAAGCAGUACAGCAUUUAUAGCAAAACAGGAUUAGUUAUCAGCUUCUGUGUUACUUAUUGAGAAUACAUUAGCUGCCAAACUCUUGCUUAUGUUCUCUCUAAUGGAUGGAAAAAUGUGCCUGUGAAAGGGAGCAAUUCGUCAUACAAUACUCUUUCUUUGUGAUAUUGAAAUGGAAAAAAACCCCUCCUGUGCCCCUUUCUUUUGUAAUAGAACCUGUAGGAUCACACCUGACCGAAGGUAAUAUUUUAACUGGAUCAAUAACUGUACAAUGAAGGUCUGUAAAACAGAAAAAUAUUGUGGUCACAACUACAAAGUAUAUUAAACAAUUAAUUGUAUUGAUAGAAAACCAGAAAAUGCUCCAUGUGAGUGUUAGAUAAAUAAUGAGACAUCUCAUCCAGUAUUUGUACAUAUUGGCUCACUCCAGCUAUGAAACUCAUGUUUUCAUUGUCCCCACGCAGCAUUUCCUUCUAGGGAAGCUGUGGGGCUGCAGGUGUAUACUGUCCCAUAAUUUAGUCCUGUUGAGCCAAAGCAAGUCACCGUUGUGGAGGUAAAUAUUCUGACAGGUUUCUCAGGCUCUCCAGCUUUUCAGGUCGAUGGUUGCUUCAAGCAUGUGAUGAAGAAAAUGUCAAGGCUUGAUAUACUUUCUCUAGUUUCUUUUCUGUAUCCCUAUGUAAAUACGCAGCAUCAUUGUAUAGCCAAAGGUUUGUUCAUUUAGGAACUGUGAAGAGAUUCAGCGAUGCACUUCUGGAAUGUAGGUUACCAAAAUAUUUUUAAUCUGUCUUUACGUGUCCCCAUGCGUGCAAUCUUGUGAUGCAGUGUAGAAUUGAACGAAACUAUUCCGUCCUUGCUGGUGACGUGCAUGAUCAAACGUUGGAGCAGAGGUGUCGUCCAAAGAGGCACUUGAAGGAGAGAGAAUGUCAUCCCACCCAUGCCAAACGGUCGAGCAGAGGUGCCAGGCACUCAGACAAAAUCUAUUGCACCUGUGGCUCAAGUUAGCUCCCAGAGCUAACAGUUAAAAAUAUUUUCCCCACAUGAUGCGGUGAAAAGCUGGGUAAGGUAGUAAUUUAUUCCGUGUGUGGCCCCACAGCAAGGUGCUGAACUUUGCAAAACGUUAGAGCACAUCGGAAUAGGAUAGCACCACCUGACAUGGCAGAUGAUAGCUCAUCUUCCCAUAUUAUACCUUAAAGCUGUCCUAGACACUCUACUGAGAUUUUAUCGCCCAAACUCCGUCCAUAGAUCGCCAUCACCAUCGUGGUUAGGGCACCACAUCAGCUCUCGCGUUGUUCAUUCUCCAGAGCCCACCACAAUCUUGCUUCAGGAUCUAAAUCACAAGAGGAGGUGAUAGAAAUUUAAGAGCACCUCCAGCGUCAUCUACCCCAAAAUACUCUCUCUCUCUCUCUCUGCUUAUCAAUAAGUAUUUUUACGUUUGUGAGACUACUAUUGCAUCGUAUUAUAAAAACUCGUACCUAAUACCUUCGUUGUCACGUCAAACCCACAUAUCAUCAAAUUAGCAAUAUUUUUAUUCUCAUCCCGACCUUUUCUGAUCCGGUCCACAUCAGCAUCCUGUCUCCAAUCACCCCCCAACCCUAACCCGCAUCAGUGAAAGACAAGUGCACAUUUUCUUCUUAUCUUAGUUGUUCAUUGUUCUCGCACGAUAUUCAUACAACAUGUUGAAUGUUUUACCUACUCAAGAUUCUCUCAGGGUAGAGCUGUCGAUCCCAAAAUGAAUAAUCCGAAUAAACCAUGUGAUCACAUCAACAUGUGAAAAAUCAAUGUGCCGUUCACAUCUCAAGCUCCCUCAUCUCCAUCAUUUCUCUCCCCCUCUCCCCCUCGCUCUCGUGUCUUCGAUGGGAGGCGGCACGGCAGACCCCGAACCUGUGAGCUAGGGACUCGAAGGUGGUGGCAGUCUGUGAAUCUACACUCGGGGGCGCCCAAGCUAGCUUCACUUGCACCUUUAGCUUUCGCAGUACCGCGGGACGCAAUUCCACGGUGGCACAGGCCUACCCCAAUGCAUGAUUAGUGUCUAUGCAACGCAAGCUGGUAGCUGGUCGUGAAGCGUGGCCUGUCUUAAGGAUCGAAACCCACAGGCAUGGUGUGGCGACGGUAGAGGUAGGCUAAAGAUUCUUUUUCUCAUGAGAUAUCAUUUACGAAAAAUACGAGUGAAUAGAGUAGUGGGAUAAAUCCUCUUAAGUUGAGCGAGAGGGAGGUGUGAUCAUAAAAAAAAAUUGGUAAUGAAUAUGGGGUUGGUAUACUAAAGCACCUCUCUAAUAAAAAAAACUGUAUCUCUAAUCACCAAAACAACGGUUCUUUUUAGUAUUGGUAACGAGAACAUGUAAUCUAUUAAAGUUGCUCAAAUGGAAAAUGCAUCUUAGUCUCUUAGAGUCUUAGACUGAAGGAUCUAGGCUCAAAAUGGUAUUGUGGCAAAAUUAAAAGGAAAAAUGAGGGAUGAACUUCGCACAGUAACUCUCUCGCCGCGCUCUGUGCCGGCCGAGCACGGCUCCCUGCGGUGCGCUCCGCGACCAGGUACCCUCAUUCCUUCUCCCAUGAUCCAUCGGUGUUGGUUCUUCUUUUGCUUGUUGGGUAGGAGUCCGCCCUAGCUUGCUUGGAGUGUUGGACGGGCAGCACGGGCGGCUAGUUUUUGUUCUACUGCGAAUCCAUUUCCUUUUUCUUCCCUGCGAGCUCUGAAACCCAUAUGUUCUCUUUUCUCUCUAAUCCGUCUGUUGUUGCGGAUUUGUUAGCCGCGUUGUGGAGAACGGACAAGCUAACACCAGUGAUUUCUAUCUUUCCUCAUUUAUUGGGUUCAACUUAACCCUAACUCAGCUGCAGUUUUAGGGAGGUUUGGGAACUCGUAGCAAUGGCGGACGUAGAACUAUAAAAAUAGGUGUACAUAAAUUCUUAAUUUUAUUCCUAAAUAUAUAUUAUCCUAUUACAUGAUUUUUAAAUAAGUGUAGACUUUAUUUUCAAAUAAAAAAUAAAGUUAUCUUAACUACUUGUUGAAACUAACCAUCCUAAAUAUAUUGAAGAACAUAAUCUUCACAUGUUUUGCAAGUUGUGUUUGUUUAAAUACAUUUUUAAUUUUUUGGCUAAAAUAUACAUUCGACAAGUCACCGCACAUUUUGAAAGAUAUCAUGGCAACUCCCAAACUUUAGCGAUAAGAAAGUCGCUGGUUAGUUAUCUUCGUCGAAAAUUUAAUAGAUCACAAUAUAGUUGCGCUAGCCAAAUUAAAAAAUAACUAAUACUUUUAUAAUAUCAAAUUUAAAAAAUGUUCACUUUCAUUUUUAGUAGCAACGAUAUUUUUGUUAAAAAAUCUUUUAUUUAGAACCAUCAUUAAAAGAAAAAAUCUUUAUAUUGUUUUUAUAUUAUCUUGAAAGUAGUAUACAUCUACUUGAUUUCAAUGAUAUUCUAAAAGUAUCCUUUACUGUAAAGUUAAAAAGAUUUAGAGGUGAAAACCGGUAUAUUAUGUUAAGGUAAUACUUAAAAAAUUAAAAGGUCAAACCGGCAUAUUAUGUUAAGGUAAUACUUAAAAAAUUAAAAGAUCAAAUAUUUCUAUCAGAUUUGGACCGCUCGUGCUCACUGCACGCCCCACCCUUGUUGCCAUUCACCGGCGCCGCCUCCGCCAUGCACCACUCAUGCUUGUUGCGGCUCAUGCUUGUUGCGGCGGCCCGUGCACAACUUCCCGCCAUGGCUUCUCGUGCUCAUUGCGAGCGCUCAUCCCUACUGCGUCCACCACUGUGGCUUAUCGAUGUCGUCUAUCUCCACCGCGCGUUGCUAGUGGUUGCCGACUUCGGGAAGAAGAAGAAAAAUUUAAAAACUAGCAUUUAAAAAAUGUUGAAUCUGUUCUACUCACACGUAGCCUAUAGAAAAUAUUGCCUGUACUACUUUCUACCAAAUAUUAAUAUAUAUUUUGAAAAAUAUUGAUUAUAUUAUUUUCGAGUAUUAUUCUGAUUUUUUAAAGUUGUUAAAUUUGUCACGUUGAAAUAUUAAUUUAUUUUUGAUUUUUAGGCUAAUGGACUUUAAAAUUACGGGGUCUUCCCCCCUCUCCCACGAAAUCGGUCGAACCGGUUCGCGUGCGACGGCGUCUGCUGCGGUUCUCUCUCUCCCCGCGACCCAUCUCCUCCCUUCGCUCCCCCAGCGCCCGCCGCUCUCCACGCGGUCGGCCAGUGGCGUACGCCGCCCUCCACGCUCCCCUGCCCAGCUGCAGCUCGAGUCCGGCUGGUGCGGCAGCACCCUCCCUUCCCACGACUUCUCUGUUCUCUCUCUCGGCCCCGGUCUUCCUUUCCUAGCGGCGACGACAGGGCGAGUUGCGCUGCCCGUUGUUCGUCGAGCGACGGGCGCUUCGCCGGCGACGAACAUCCGCCAGGGGUAUGCCUGCCUAUUCCCCUCCCUUCCCAUCCUGCUGCGCGAAAUCAAACACCCAAACCCUUAGCUUAUGGUAUUUGUAUUCGGAUCUGACCAUGAUUUUACCUACUAAAUUCGAUCUUUUUGCAACAGUUGUACACAUGUACACCCAUGUCCUAUACUGGGUCCGCCCCUGACUCGUAGUGCUGUUGAUGUCAGCGAAGGUUCUUUGGUGCUAUACACGAAUACAAUCUUUUAGGAGCUAGAUGCCCAAUUUUCUCCUAAUUCUGUUCAUUUUGUUCCAAUGGCAAAGAACUCUUUUAUUUGUGCCGUUUUGCCCUCAUGGAAAUACUUUUAGUGCAAAACUGGUGUGGAUUAGGUCAACUUGUGGCAGUUAUUUUUUUUAUCUCUAGAGGGAAUUUAGCGUAGUCUACUUCCUCAGAUGAUGUGAUUCAGAUCUUAUACUCAUCCACAUGACGUUCUCAAGUUUCUCAAAGAAAGAUUUAAAAAUAGUAAUGGCUUAUUUGCAGACAAGUGCACAUAUGUCAAGGCUGUUUCACCCCACUGGAUUCAACCAAGGAACAAUUCAAAUUGCUAUCAAAUUCAUUAACCACUUUGGCUGACCACAUUCCUUGGUUAUGAACCUAUAGUAGUAUCCCAACCCCAUGAUCAGCAAAGGUUCCAGUUAAACUAGCGCAGUUGCUUUUCGAUGGUUUCUGAUUUAGGUUAACUGAGUUUUGUUAGUACUGAAACUAAG
rnacentral:lncRNA from 1 species